rnacentral:tRNA from 2 species
GAGAUAUUAGUAAAAUUUACAUGGUCUUGUCAAGGCCAAAUUACAGGUGAAAACCCCGUAUAUCUCU